rnacentral:rRNA from 1 species
AAACAUGAAUGCACCUGUUUGGAAUGGCAGCACACCGGAAAGCCUUGUGAGCAUGCUCUAGUAUUUUUGAUGGGGAGGAGAAACCCCAAAUGGGUUGACUAUGUUCAUAAUUAUUUCUCCUUGGACAAGUUUAGGGCAGCUUAUGCAGGUGAGAUUGAGCCUAUGACAGAUAGGAGUCAAUGGCCUCAUGUGGAUGUUGGUUUCGACAUGGACGCACCAAUUGACAAAGGAAGACCGCCUGGAAGGCCUAGAAAGCAGAGGUACAAGAGUGCCCUCGAAGGUGGAAAAGGUGGUCCAAAAAAGAAAGAACCUAAACAAUUGGGCAGCCAAAACAGAUGCAAAAGAUGCAAUGAACUAGGUCACAGACAAGCUGCUUGCCCUUUAAAUGGUCCCAAAAAAAGGAAGAGAAAACAGAGAGCAAGAACAUAUCCUGCUGAAGAUGAUGAGCCAGGACCUCAAAUUGGUGGUGCUCCCGUUGGCACACCCAACAGACAAAUUGGUGGCGCUCCUGUUGGCACACCCAAUAGGCAAAUGCUUACUAUUCCUGCCAGUCUCCAUGAUAGUCCUAGGCCAGUGACAAGAAGGAUGCUGGCUAUAGCCUUGGCUGAUGAAUCAUCAGAGCCAACAGAGGUGCCUUCGACCUCGCAUUUGGGAGAGCACGGACCUGUGCAGCAGCUCGGGGAAGGCAGAGCCCAUUGCGGCAGCAGCAAGCUCGGCGAGGGUCAGCAGGAAGAAGCAGCAGCUCGGGGAAGGUUCCACACAGUGAGACCUCGCAGCAGCUCACGGACGCACAGCAGCAUGCAGCGGCAGCUCGUGGAAGGUUGCACACGGGGCGUCGCAAGCUCAAGGAGGCACAACACCACACAGCAGCAGCUCAGGGGAGGACGCCCUUGCCGGUAUAGCUGCUGCAAGGUCGCACGACGUACGGCGAGGUUGCAGGGCGGCCAUCCACCAUGGACGAACAGAGUACAAGCAAAAGGAAGAAGAGAUAAGGUACAUGUCCGAUUGGGGAUUACUCAUCCUGAUUUGGACCAGGGGCAUUUUGGUCACAUAAUUUAUACUAUAAUCUGCCAAAUGAUCCAAACCGUGUACGGAGGGCAAAUCCUCAAGAUUACAGCAAAUGCGUGGUAA